rnacentral:lncRNA from 1 species
GCCGUGAAUAUUGAUUGGUGUUGUGGUGUAUUUUGUUGCGUUGGUCUGCAUUGGUGAUUUUCGUUUGAUCUUUUCUUGUAUAAAGGAAAAAAAACAUAAAAGAAAUAGGACAAUUGUGCAUGGACAAAAUCCGACAUGGAAACCAGAGAACUAGUAUAGAAACCUGUAUAUACUUAGUUUUUAUGAAAUAUGUUUUGACAAAAUAU